UACGUAGACCUCGAGCGUUAUCCGGAAUUAUUGGGCGUAAAGCGCUAAAAGGUGGUUUAGAAAGUCAGUCAUAAAAGCCCGGGGCUCAACUCCGGAUCUAUGGCUGAAACUCCUAGACUAGAGGGUAGAAGAGGCAAGCGGAAUGGCCGGUGUAGCAGUAAAAUGCGUUAAUAUCGGCUAGAACACCAAUGGCGAAGGCAGCUUGCUGGGAUACUCCUGACACUAAAUAGCGAAAGCGUGGGUAGCGAAUGGG
rnacentral:rRNA from 1 species